rnacentral:rRNA from 1 species
AAACGUAGGGGGCGAGCGUUGUCCGGAAUUACUGGGCGUAAAGGGUGCGUAGGCGGCUAUUUAAGUCAGAUGUGAAAGGCUACGGCUCAACCGUAGUGAGCAUUUGAAACUGAAUAGCUUGAGUCAAGGAGAGGGAAGUGGAAUUCCUGGUGUAGCGGUGAAAUGCGUAGAUAUCAGGAGGAAUACCAGUGGCGAAGGCGACUUCCUGGCCUUAGACUGACGCUGAGGCACGAAAGCGUAGGGAGCAAACAGGAUUAGAUACCCUGGUGGUCCACGCCGUAAACGAUGAGUGCUAGGUGUUGGGGAGGUUACUCUUCAGUGCCGCAGCUAACGCAAUAAGCACUCCGCCUGGGGAGUACGUACGCAAGUAUGAA